rnacentral:rRNA from 1 species
GCAGAGCACUUCUACGGGAGGCAGCAGUGGGGAAUAUUGCACAAUGGGCGCAAGCCUGAUGCAGCCAUGCCGCGUGUAUGAAGAAGGCCUUCGGGUUGUAAAGUACUUUCAGCAGUGAGGAAGGUGGGUAUGUUAAUAGCAUAUUCAUUUGACGUUAGCUGCAGAAGAAGCACCGGCUAACUCCGUGCCAGCAGCCGCGGUAAUACGGAGGGUGCGAGCGUUAAUCGGAAUUACUGGGCGUAAAGCGCAUGCAGGUGGUUUGUUAAGUCAGAUGUGAAAGCCCGGGGCUCAACCUCGGAAUUGCAUUUGAAACUGGCAAACUAGAGUACUGUAGAGGGGGUAGAAUUUCAGGUGUAGCGGUGAAAUGCGUAGAGAUCUGAAGGAAUACCGGUGGCGAAGGCGGCCCCCUGGACAGAUACUGACACUCAGAUGCGAAAGCGUGGGGAGCAAACAGGAUUAGAUACCCUGGUAG